rnacentral:rRNA from 1 species
UACGGAGGGGGCAAGCGUUGUUCGGAAUCACUGGGCGUAAAGCGCACGUAGGCGGAUGUGUCAGUCAGGGGUGAAAUCCCGGGGCUCAACCUCGGAACUGCCUUUGAUACAGCACGUCUCGAGUCCGGAAGAGGUGGGUGGAAUUCCUAGUGUAGAGGUGAAAUUCGUAGAUAUUAGGAAGAACACCAGUGGCGAAGGCGGCUCACUGGUCCGGUACUGACGCUGAGGUGCGAAAGCGUGGGGAGCAAACAGGG